AAUCGAAGUCACUGUUGCGUAAGCUGCGGAGGCGAGCAGUUUGUGGCAUCGUGAUCGAGAAGUUCGCCGAGACGGAUUAAUUAGCCAGUUGGCUGUGUUCGACAAGUAUACUCGUCGUGGAGAGGUGAUACACAUUUUGUAUCAUAACGAGUACACUCGUCGCGCGUAAUUAGGCAGUGACCACUGACUGAUUUAAAUUGUAAUUUUAGUGAAAGCAAAAACAUAUUCUCAAAUUUCAAGAUGUUCAGAAUAUUUCGAGGCCGAUCCAAUACGAAGGUGUUUAUAUUGGGGACUGAAAUAUCGUACACAAGAACCUUCCCCCCUCCCCCCCAAAAAAUAUGUAUAUAAGAGGACUUCGUCAACCCAUCGUAGCGUGUAGCGACGCUGUCACACUUGUUACACCUCGGUUGUCCUUUUAUUUGAUUAAAGUUAUUUUCACCGGCACAAACUCGAUCGAUUCGAUUAUAUCAAUUCGUUCGAGAUUAAUCUCUCGUCACGAAGCGAGCGAGUACAGAAAUGGAUUAUAAUUUUUGAAAAAAUCUUUACCGUCGAAAGAACGUUCAGCAUAUUAAAAAGUAAAUUUAAUUAAAAUAAAAAGCAAAUAUCUUUCCCACCGCGGCAAAUCUCGUGUUCGGCAAGGCCUCCUCACCCUUGCCUUAACAAGAAGCCGCUAAAUGUCACGGAGUAACGGCGACAGUUUAUUUCGAGCGCCGCCGAGCCGAAACCACGCCGGCUGUAGCUUUCCGUUCGAACGGUGGCGACACCCGGUAAAAAAGUAAACAAACACCGCGCACCGAAGCGUACGAAAAACCGAGUAGCGAGAACUUUCAUGUGCAUCGGCGACUUUUGAUCAAAAGUUGGUCAAGGUAUAUGUAUAAGAUACGGGUGAAGUUGUCCGAAAACAUGUAUGUAUGUAUGUACCAACAUCGAUUUCAACAGCCUUGAAAUAUGUUAUAAAGGUUUUUCGAUAUUCUGAACGAUUUUUUUCCUUUUCCGUACAGAACCGCUGGGGCUCGAUUCUCGAGGUUAAGUUACAGAAUUAAAAUAAAUAAAUAGACAGAAAUAAA